rnacentral:rRNA from 1 species
UACGUAGGGGGCUAGCGUUGUCCGGAAUCAUUGGGCGUAAAGAGCGCGUAGGCGGCCAGAUAAGUCCGGUGUGAAAGUCAAAGGCUCAACCUUUGAAUGCCGCUGGAAACUGUCUGGCUAGAGUCCGGGAGGGGCGAGUGGAAUUCCUGGUGUAGCGGUGAAAUGCGCAGAUAUCAGGAGGAACACCUAUGGCGAAGGCAGCUCGCUGGGACGUUACUGACGCUGAGACGCGAAAGCGUGGGGAGCAAACAGG